rnacentral:rRNA from 1 species
GAGGAAUAUUGGUCAAUGGGCGCAAGCCCGAACCAGCCAAGUAGCGUGCAGGAAGACGGCCCUAUGGGUUGUAAACUGCUUUUAUACGAGAAUAAUUUGAUGCACGUGUGCGUUAUUGCAUGUAUCGUAUGAAUAAGGACCGGCUAAUUCCGUGCCAGCAGCCGCGGUAAUACGGAAGGUCCAGGCGUUAUCCGGAUUUAUUGGGUUUAAAGGGAGUGUAGGCGGUUUGUUAAGCGUGUUGUGAAAUUUAGAUGCUCAACAUUUAACUUGCAGCGCGAACUGUCAGACUUGUGUACACGCAACGUAUGCGGAAUUCAUGGUGUAGCGGUGAAAUGCUUAGAUAUCAUGAAGAACUCCGAUUGCGAAGGCAGCAUACGGGAGUGUAACUGACGCUUAAGCUCGAAGGUGCGGGUAUCGAACAGGAUUAGAUACCCUGGUAGUCCGCACAGUAAACGAUGGAUGCCCGCUGUUAGCGCCUGGCGUUAGCGGCUAAGCGAAAGCAUUAAGCAUCCCACCUGGGGAGUACGCCGGCAACGGUG